rnacentral:rRNA from 1 species
CCUACGGGGUGCAGCAGUGGGGGAUAUUGCACAAUGGGGGAAACCCUGAUGCAGCGACGCCGCGUGGGUGAAGAAGCGCCUCGGCGCGUAGAGCCCUGUCAGCAGGGAAGAAAAUGACGGUACCUGAAGAAGAAGCCCCGGCUAACUACGUGCCAGCAGCCGCGGUAAUACGUAGGGGGCAAGCGUUAUCCGGAUUUACUGGGUGUAAAGGGGGCGCAGACGGCGAUGCAAGCCAGGAGUGAAAGCCCGGGGCCCAACCCCGGGACUGCUCGUGGAACUGCGUGGCUAGAGUGCAGGAGGGGCAGGCGGAAUUCCUGGUGUAGCGGUGAAAUGCGUAGAUAUCAGGAGGAACACCGGUGGCGAAGGCGGCCUGCUGGACUGCAACUGACGUUGAGGCCCGAAAGCGUGGGGAGCAAACAGGAUUAGAUACCCCAGUAGUC